rnacentral:rRNA from 1 species
AAUAUGUCACAAUGGGCGGAAGCCUGAUGCAGCGAUGCCGCGUGAGUGACGAAGGCCUUCGGGUCGUAAAACUCUGCUCUAAGGGACGAUAAUGACGGUACCUCAGGAGGAAGCCCCGCCUACCUACGUGCCAGCAGCCGCGGUAAUACGUAGGGGGCGAGCGUUGUCCGGAAUUAUUGGGCGUAAAGGGUGCGUAGGCGGCCUUUUAAGUCAGGUGUGAAAGCCCACGGCUUAACCGUGGGACUGCAUUUGAAACUGGAGGGCUUGAGUGUCGGAGAGGGCAGUGGAAUUCCCAGUGUAGCGGUGGAAUGCGUAGAUAUUGGGAGGAACACCAGUGGCGAAGGCGACUGCCUGGACGAUAACUGACGCUGAGGCACGAAAGCUAGGGGAGCAAACA